UAGGGAAUAUUGGACAAUGGGUGAGAGCCUGAUCCAGCCAUGCCGCGUGCAGGAAGAAGGCGUUAUGCGUUGUAAACUGCUUUUUGCCAGGGGAUAAAAAGACCGUGCGCGGUUAAUUGAAGGUACCUGGUGAAUAAGCCACGGCUAACUACGUGCCAGCAGCCGCGGUAAUACGUAGGUGGCAAGCGUUGUCCGGAUUUAUUGGGUUUAAAGGGUGCGUAGGUGGCCCUGUAAGUCAGUGGCGAAAUAUCUCAGCUUAACUGAGAGGGUGCCAUUGAUACUGCAGGGCUUGAGUACAGAUGAGGUAGGCGGAAUUGACGGUGUGGCGGUGAAAUGCAUAGAUAUCGUCAAGAACACCGAUAGCGAAGGCAGCUUACCAAGCUGUAACUGACACUGAGGCACGAAAGUGUGGGGAUCAAACAGGAUUAGAUACCCAGGUAGUCCCUGAGCGGGCUGGCAAGGCGCAU
rnacentral:rRNA from 1 species